rnacentral:rRNA from 1 species
CCUACGGGUGGCAGCAGUGGGGAAUUUUGCGCAAUGCUCGUAAGAGUGACGCAGCGACGCCGCGUGAGGGAUGAAGGUCCUCGGAUCGUAAACCUCUGUCAGCAGGGAAGAACGGUCACUGUGCUAAUCAGCAGUGAAUUGACGGUACCUGCAAAGGAAGCACCGGCUAACUCCGUGCCAGCAGCCGCGGUAAUACGGAGGGUGCGAGCGUUAAUCGGAAUUACUGGGCGGAAAGCGCUCGUAGGCGGUAUGUCAAGUCAAGGGUGAAAUCCCCGCGCUCAACGUGGGAACUGCCUUUGAAACUGGCAAACUUGAGUGUGUGAGAGGUAAGUGGAAUUCCAGGUGUAGGGGUGAAAUCCGUAGAUAUCUGGAGGAACAUCAGUGGCGAAGGCGACUAUCUGGCACAUAACUGACGCUGAGGAGCGAAAGCGUGGGUAGCAAACAGGAUUAGAGACCCGGGUAGUC